CAUCCAGACACAUGGACUGUCAGAGACCACACGGCAGGAACAUUCUCCUGGAGACGCUGAGAAAGCACGGAAGGAAUGUCUGAGGAGAAUGUACUCAAAAAAUACACAAACUUCAGGACACCUGCUGGAGGGGACCUGGCUACACCUUUCCUACCAUACACCUGAUGGAUACUGACUGUAAAAUGUCAGUCAUAGUUCGAGAGCUCAGUGUGGUGACAGAAGAUGGAAUAGAUGUGUGUCAGUGCACCAGCCUUGAUGAAGCUUCAUAACAGCCUUCUGUGUGCAUUUUGCUUUCAACAUUGCAUAUCCACCACACCUGGGAAAGACACUGACUUUCCUUCAGAGGCACAUUGUCAACAUUAGAAUAUGGAGACAAGCACUGUCAGUAACUUUACUCUGAAUGAUUUGCCUCUUUUAUUAGUUCCUCAUGCCUUGACUGUACCAUCGCCCAAAGUGCACUCGAAGGACAUUCACUCUUUUGAAGUUAACCCAACAUGUUGGAGUGGUAUGGUUGACUGGAAGUCUGUCAGUCCAGAUGUGAGGAAGACACACAGAGUGGAGCUGGAGCUCAGCAGAUGUGUGAUACUGUAGAUACUGUGGUCUUGGAAAGAAGGGAUCUUCACAGCUUUCUAUUCAGACAAAGAGUUUGCUGGAUUCUGUUCUAUGGACUGCUACUACAGAAUGAAUUAAUGAAUGAGUGGUUUAUCUAUCUAUCUAUCUAUCUAUCUAUCUAUCUAUCUAUCUAUCUAUCUAUCUAUCUAUCUAUCUAUCUA